GACGAACGCUGGCGGCGUGCUUAACACAUGCAAGUCGAACGAUGAAGAAGAGAAACGCGAACUUCGGUUCAACUUUCGCUUCGGAUUAGUGGCAGACGGGUGAGUAACGCGUGAGCAACCUACCUCUUACAAAGGGAUAGCCUCGGGAAACCGUGAUUAAUACCAUAUGACACAUUCAUAAGGCAUCUUAAGAAUGUUAAAGCUACGGCGGUAAGAGAUGGGCUCGCGUCCCAUUAGCUAGUUGGUGAGGUAACGGCCCACCAAGGCGACGAUGGGUAACCGGCCUGAGAGGGUGAACGGUCACAUUGGAACUGAGACACGGUCCAAACUCCUACGGGAGGCAGCAGUGGGGAAUAUUGCACAAUGGAGGGAACUCUGAUGCAGCGACGCCGCGUGAGCGAUGAAGGAAUUCGUUUCGUAAAGCUCUGUUCUAUGGGAAGAAAAGGACUGUACCAUAGGAGAAAGCCCCGGCUAAAUACGUG
rnacentral:rRNA from 1 species